UAAAAAGGCAAUCAGCAUGGGUAAGCUUCUAAAGAAAGUCAAUCUAUGCGACUCUCAUCUUCAAGAACAGGUGAACGUUUUGACGACCCAAGUGUCACUUUCCCUUCCCCGUAUUACGGCGAUGGAAUUCGGCGACUUGAAUUUAUCUCUGAUCCCCAAGUUGAUCGGUACUUCGUUGACUUACUUGAUUAUACUGUGCCAGUUCCGGUUGUUGGAAAAGAAUUAACUCAUUCAAUCUCAUCAUAGUCUGUUUCGACAUAUUAUAUAAUGUAAUUAAUUCAGAGUGAAAUAAAAAUCGACUGGCUCGGAAUAGUCAACGGUGCUGUUGAUUCCAUUAGACUCGUCGGUGACGACGACGCACUGGGUGACAUUGGUGUAGAAAUCCUCGGUGGCUAGAUGAGAAUGAUUCAUGUGAUUUUGUGACACGGUCAUCCAGGCGAUAAAACGACGUAACCCGCAGGCAGAUGGGACA